CGCACCGCACCGCUCCGCACCGCACCGCUCCGCUCCGCCGGGCGCGGCGCCGGGCAGGGCAGCGCCCAUGGGCUGCGGCAACUCCAAGGCCAGCGGCGCGGGCGGGCGAGGUGCCACGGGGACUACUAAAGAUGUAGCAGAAGAGUCUGUAUCAGAUGAUGACAAAAGAAGGAACUAUGGUGGCGUGUAUGUUGGCCUGCCGUCGGAUGCGGCUGCCAUGGUUUCCAGUCAGACGAAAACUGCACCGAAAGAUUAAAACGAAAUAAACACAUCAAGAUCCAAACAGCUGGAGUCUUCUACUAAGACCAGUUGCCAGUGCUUUAGAGAGAGUUGACUUUCUGCUGAAGAUUUUUAUAUUUAUGUAGCCUUCCGGAGAGCAAGAAUAAUCAGAGCACCAAAAAAAUCUAAACUGUUGCAAGUUCCAACUACGGGUAAAGCUUAAAGUACAGCGUUGAAUAAGUUUCCUAUGAUGGUUGCAUUAUGGAAACCUCCUGCUGUUCUCCAGUGAAAAGUGAAGUUAAUGAACUCAUGGUGGAUGUUUCUGUACAAGAGCUAACUUUGAUGAUCUGCAACUUAUUUCUUUGUGGCCAUAUUGCAGAUUUCAUCUGCUACGCUUCAUAUAUUUUCUCCAGCAAUUUUUGAUAGAUUUUAUAUAGAAAAUCAUUACUACUGUCCACUUAAUAGUUCCUAUGAAAUCUGCUACUUGGGUUAUCAACGAUUUCAGGCUUCCAGCUCCAGAAGACAAAUACACAUCUCAUGCUUGACCCCAUCAACCUUGAACCAAGAUGAAAUAAGCUUGAAGAUUAAGAGGUGGUGUUAAAAUAUCUCAGUAUGAAUGAAUGCCUGUAGAUUACAUCUGCAGAGUCUUGUUCUUGCAUGCCAAGCUGAUGAGAACUCAAAUAGCAGUGAGUAAUAAACAUGCAGGUUUGAUUUCCACCUGCUUCCCGUAGCAUAACGGUGUAGUUUCCACAUCAUAUGUUCCACAAAUGGUCUAAAUGGUCUGCACAGCACCGUUUUAUUUAGUAUAAAAGAUUAGAUCCAUGCCUGACUUGGUCACGAUUGCCCUUCCCAAAGCAGAAUAACCAUCAGUCAUCCCAGGACACAUCAUAGUUCAGCUAGUGCUUGAAAAGCCAAAUGACGCCAGUUAUCUCCCAGUAUUUUGUCUGCUUCUAACCUUCAGUUGCCGGAAAGUAUAAUCAGAAAGGUGGACAGGGCUAAAUUUGAACAUCUCUUGUUCUGCUACUGACAUCUGAAUCCCCAUGUGUGGGCUGGGGAAAGAAAGAGGUGAUCUUUAAUGAGUAUCUCCUAGCAGUUGUUGUUGGGGCAGUUGCAAAGGGUACUUUUUCUUGGUUUAUGUCAUUGCUUAAUUUUUCCUGUGCAGACCUGCAGAGAAGUGUGGAGCACUUUGCAGAAUUGGCCUCUUAAUGAUUCAUCCGCUGAAUAUGUGGGAGGUAUGGUGGUUUCUUUAUAUUUUUGUUCCUUUGCAUCUUUUAAUCUCAAAAGCUUACUGAUCAACUGACAAAUGUUUCAGUAUCAUGGGCUGGAGCUUCUGCAAUAGAUGUACAUUCAUUUAUGUCAUGCAGGCCUGUACCCAUCAAACUGAAGAGCUAGGGCCAUGCCCUUGUCUUAGAAUUGCAGACUGUGUCUUUUGUUUUCCCAAGGACCCACAGAUCUAGAAACUGUGUGACAGGACACUGUAUUCUGUCUUGGCCAAAUUCCACUUAGGGAACUGAUUUUCUGCUCAUCAAAAUUUCUCUAUGGUGAGUAGCAUUUCUUAAGCCUUUGUUAAUAAAAGCACACGACAUUUCAUGGAUAAAUGAGUAUAUCUACUCUUUCAAAACUUAAAGCCUAUGGAUAUUUCUGUUAGGAGGAGGAAGACAAAAGAAACCCUAUAUGCCAGCUGCCAGCUGUGCAUUUGAUGGCAUCCUUGGAGGAUAUUUAGGCACUCAAAUGAUGGUUCAGUGUGACAACUGAGAACAGAACACAAGAAGCCAUUGAAUGGCAGAGUUCUUAUCAAGAGAUAUACUUUGGUUUUGUAAAUUCAUCUUGAAUUACCAUUUGUAAAGAAGAACCAUUGAAAUCUUGGGGCUGUGAUACCAUUUCCUUUACAGUUGUCACUCUCUCUCCAGCCAGCGCUGAGGAGACAGUGGAAUAAUUUAGCAAAGACAGUGGAUUUGGGCUUUAUAAUCGCAGAAUCUCUGGUUUGGGAUUCUUUGACAGCUCAGAAAUAUUAUGCUUGAAUUCACAUAACCCAGACAAUUGAAUCUUGAAAAAUUAUGGAGUAUUAAAGCAUAGGAUUGAAACAGUUUGUGAUUCACUGAAAAGCAAUCCAAAUAUCUUGUUAGGCUGCAAAUUUUGUUCUAGUUGUACAAACUAUUCACCUCAAUGAGAGCUGCUCCUUUGAAUGGCAUUGAUGAGACAGUGCAUUUAUUUUGCUUUCUUCUUAAUGCAGAACCUAGAGCUUAGUUGUAAGAACCCAACUUCUCUGUAUCUGGGUAGUCCAGGCAGAGAUACUGCGCAUCUCAGAUGUGCCAUCCAUACCACAGUGUAGUUCAGAGGAUGUGAUAUAGCUUUAAACCUCUGUGUCGCUCAGGGGUUAAAUCUGUCCCUAAGAGGGUUGUGGAAGACCUGGUAAAGCCCCGUGUAAGCUCUGCUGGGACUUCAUUCACUAGAAGUGAAAUCCUGUCAUAGCAAAGAGUCCACACAAGGCUGAAGCUGCAGAAAAACAUAAAGGUGAAAUCCGUCUCUAAUGAACACAAAGGCAAAGUACUGAUUUACUUGAUUUCAUUGUGCAUGUCUAGCAGAGGAAUCUCUGCUGUAUCGGACUAUGGUUGAAAUGGCAUCACUAGCAUAUUGUUCCCUGUCACCCACACAAGUCUAGUGAUUCUCAAUAAUCAUGCUUCCCAAGCAGUCGAUGAGUCACUGCUGAUCUGUUUUCUGCAAAGUAGACCUCUGUUUGGUUCCCAUGGUGAUCAGAAGUGACAAUUAUUACAGACUGCUACUACAGUUCUUCAGUUGCGUGUGCCCACUAAAAGAAGCUCUUAUCUGGUUAUAGUUCCUUGGAGUUCUGCAGUACAUGGUCAUUGCUUCCUAUUGACAGCAAUUUGAACACUUCAGGUGAAUUUGCUUUGUGGAGUACAUGCUGGGGGAGGGUGGCUUGUGGAGUAUUUUUGUUUUGUAGCGUGUUUAGGAAAAGACCAUGAAAAUAACAGCUCUGUAAACUUUCCAUAGAGCAAUGGCGUGACAGUAUUGCAGGAAAUCUUUUGAGGCUGGGCUAAAUGAUUCAACCCUUGUUUUAACAACAAAUGUGCACAAAGCUCAGCUUUAUCAUAAUAGGAGUGAUUUAAUUUUACAUGUUCUGGCAAUUUUUACUGUAGCCCUAGGGUUUUCAAAUGGGAAUGUUCCCCAGACAGGAGAAACCUGCUUGUGGGUGCUUAGAAUGGCUGUCAUCCAUGUUGUGGGAACUUCUGUGUAGUGGGCACUUCUCUGGUCAUUGUUAAAAUACCUAUAGCUGAAGAUAGGACCCUGCUUGUGAAACAGAUCAUUCCAUGAAGUGCAGUGAAAAUCUCAUUGGCUUAACUGUACUGAGGAAAGAAUUAGAAAGAUGCCAUGGGAUGGAGCCUGGAUGAAAGGGACUUUGUGUGGCAGAAAGGAGGAAAUACAUAGGAGAAUGAGGGUUAUAAUAUUAUGCAGUAAAGACAGAUGCAGAAGGAGGUUAGGCACUGAAAAUGACAUAAAAAAGGAAGUAGUUUAAUUAAGUAUCUGGUCCAUUGCUCUGUAGUUCUAAUCUCUUAAAAACAGAGCAAGAAGUAGACCACUGACAAAUAGUUUUAAGACUAAAGAGAAGUGAGGAUUGGCUUAUCGGUUCAUUCCAACCCUCAGAUGUCUGAGAUUGCAAACCUUUCAGGAAACAACUCUAUCUCAUUUUUAUUUGUUUAAUGCCCAGUGUAAUGAGCCCAUGAAACUUAUAGGUCCUUUUGAGUGUUACCAGGAUAUAUAAAUAUUCUGCCUUCUCUUUCAAAAGUUGUGUUGGUGUUUUUGUGUCUCUACGCAGACUGAAAUUUCUAAUUACUUUGGAAGUUUGCAUCACACUUGAAAAACAAUUUAGUAGACUGAGAAAAUGCAUAAGAUGUAAAAAUCAUUAACAGGCAUAGUACAAGGAGAGAUUAUAGAACAUGCAAAAAGGAAGCAAGAGCUUAAUCUGAAGUCUAAUCUGAAAAUCAGAGUAGAGUUGACCCAAAGCUUUGGUUUACUUAUGCCAUCUAUUUUACAUUUCUUGUAACUACUGGAUCACGGUGCAAGUGAUUAGUUUGGAUCAUAGCACCCUUAUUGGUACUCUGGGAAUUAGCAUUCCACUUUCAAAGUUUUGUUUAUGGUCUUUGAUUCCUGUGUCAUAGGAGGUGGCAGUAAUGUGAAAUACUAAAUUUCACCCUUAGCAUUCAUUGCCCACUUUUAAUGUUGGCCAAAUCUCAGUGUUGUCUGCAGGAUGGCUUCAGCUCCAUAAAAGCUGAGCUCACUGGAUUCUUACAGUGAGGCUACGAUUCAGAGCAACAUGUUAAUUGGAGGCAGGUCAUGUUCAAUAGCUGUUUUGUGGGCGAUACCAGACUGCAGGAAAAUAUAAGACUGUUUAUUGGAGUUAGGGGGGUAUUCAAACUUUGAAGAGAGUCCACAUUGCAUCACUACUAAACUCUACAUGAGAGAACACAAACAUAACACCACAUGCAUAAAUAAAUAAAAUCAGGGAAGCAAUGCACACCUUUCAGCUUAUAUCUAAUAUCACAUUUGUGGUUACAUAUUACUGGACACUGACUGUAGCUUUGAGCUAGGAAUAUUUUCCCACAGUCAGGUUUGCAUUCCCAAAAUGAUACUGCUGUAAGGAAAAAAACUUGGAGGGAUUCCCACUACCUGGUUUGUCCAUAGGAGCCUUACAUGCUUUUGGGAAAUCAGCCAACAGAUUUUCUUUAAAAUUAAAAGAUUUAAUUGGAUCUUAAUAUAUAAAUAGAAUCAACUUGAGCAAACUCCAAGUAUCUGGUUAUUAUAACAAUGAUGUACUUUGUCUCUGAAGUCUCACAAGAAACCAGUUGCCUACUUCUUUUCCCGCUUCCAAAUUGUGGGUUACUUUAAUAAAUAAAUGAUUACAUUCUUUUACUGUUCUGUCAAAGGAAUUGCUUUGGAUUGUCAGAUAAAAACAAACCAUUUUUGGCAGGGAAUUAAUUUCUAAUAAGGAAACUGUGCCAGCCAGGGGAGAUGGAGCUUCUAUAAAUUCCAAAAUCUUUUAAAUAGAAUGAAUAAUGGUUGGAGAACUUACACAGUACUGUUAAAGGGUCUUUGUUCAAGAUAUCAUUGCUUGCGUAACAAUUGCUUCUUGAGAAGCCCAAGAUUUCCAGUUAAAAAACCCCCGAAAAUCACUUCUUGGAAAAUAAUUCUUGGUUUCUGACAAUAAUUUGCCAAAAGCAGCAUUAUAUUUUUCCCUUUGAAUUUCAAGAGGAAGCCAAUUUCUCAUCUAAACCAGUAAGGUGAACAAACAACCCCUCCUUGCCUGCAAACAACUGCAGGCAAUGGUCAUUCAGAGAAAAUGAGAAUUUUCUCAGGAAGAAAGAUAAAUGGUAUUGACUAGCUCUUCUGCAGGGGCAUACCUGUUCGUACAUUUGAAGUCAAUUCUUAUCUUUAACAAAUUCGGCUAGAUUAGACUAGAUUUCAUGUUUCCUCCUUUCAGGUAUUUUUAUUGAAAUAUGAUCCUAUUCCUUCCUGAAAUAAUCCCUGGCAAAAAUAUUUCUUCUAUAUUUGUUCUAAGAAUGUGUACUUUGUUACAAUUUUCAAAACUUCUUGCACUAUUUCCCAUUUUAAUCGCAAGCACACCCUCUGGCAUAAAACUCUGCCCCAGACUAGGUUUUACGCAAAGGCCUAGGCUUACCCCUUAGCUCAGGUGAGCACUCCAGGUAGGUGCCGCUGAAGAACACUUUAUUCUGAAAGCUUUGCUACUCAGCUGUUUUUUUUCAACCAGCUGAAACGUGGAUAGCGAUGAUUGUUCUCUAGGAGAAGCAUUUACUAUACAUGUGACUGUGUCAUCUUGGGACUUGGACUGGUGUGGUUGUAGGAGUCCUCCAUUCCUCAGUGUAGGGUUUUGAAACCUUAUCUUACCCCCUGCAUGACACCUUCUUCAGUUGUGUCUGUGGACAAGCAGCUUUGUGCUACAAAGUUGGAAGGCACAAAAUGAUGCAAAAGUGUCUCCAUCGCAUUCCUGUUUGAGUGGUGAUGUGCAAAACACGAGUAAAUGUUGCUGAUAAAUUAGUUGGAGAGAUGACUUUGCAACAUUGCACAGUCUCUUUGGAGCGGCUUGAAAUGAUGACAAAAGGAGCAAGAUAAUAAAGAAUCUGGUCCUGUGAUUCAAUAUCAUAAAUGCCUGUAUUAGACAUUACAAAUUACAGCGGUAUUCCUUGUAUUGUCAUUGUGGUUGCCACAAAGCAGUUGCAGUCUUGUAAUAAUUUUGCCGGCACACCUCCAUAGAUAGUAAGGGAAAUUACUUCCAGUUGACAGGGGCUGACCAUUUGACCCAUAGGUUUUCUUGCCUGAGUCACGGGGUCUGGCUGAUAUGCACAAAGUGUAGCUCAUCAUAAUUUGAAAAUUCCCACUUUGCAACCUCCUGGUUUUGCCAUGUAACUCUGCAGCGCGCCUUCAUGGUGUCUACCAGUGUAAAAAGUGAAAGUGGUUUGAAGAACCAGCUAGUUAACUGGUGGGGCAGAAGGACACCUCCAUGACAUACUCCCUCUGUUGAUCCCACUGUCUUUUUGGUUCUCUGGGUGAGGUAUGGUGGCUUUGCACCCACCGAGGGACCAACCAUAUAUUAUCAGUGAUCCUCCAAAGGUCAACUGUACCGUCCCAUACGCACCCAGUUACAGCAGACCAGUACAAACAACACUGCUGUGCUGGAGAGGCUGGCCUUGUCUUUGGCUGGCUGGAGUCUUAAAUAGUGCUGGGAUUUGUUUUUCUCCUUCCCUUGCUCUCUUAGCAGCAAAACCCAAGUGACUGCACUCAGUUUCCUUUUAUGUGCCUCCUGAACAAGCCUUAUGUUCAGAGCCAUGCUGGUGACAAUCAAAUUAAUCACUGUCCCGUCUGCAGCUGCACGUCGGGCUCUCCCAGCAGCCUCAGAGGGGGUGGGCUGUAGCCUGGGAUGUCGGAACAGAUCCUGUCCAAAGUAGGUCAGCAAACUGUGCCUGGCCUCAAGAAACUGCUUUGAUCAGAGACAGCAAAUUUCUUGAUAUUGCUGCCAAUCGCUUUCUUCAAAUGUCUUUCAUGGGAAAGAAUCUCUGCAGACCCACAUAGCAACGCUGGCUCCCUGAAGCUGAACCCUCUGGCAGAACUUGACAGAAAAGAUGUUCUGAAGAGAGAGCAUCCCAAAGGCUUGUUAAAAGAAACCCUAAAAGUGUGUAAGGAAUCCUUUGAAAGGAGUCUUCAUACACCUCUGCUGCUGUCAUUCCUGUAACAUUCACUUGAUUGCUCCUUAAAAGCCGCAAAUGUCUUGUUUUGAUUUCAUUGUAUCUAUACAUAAAAUUUUAGCAAUUAAAAAUAUACCUUUUUUCAAAACACUAUUACAAAUUUUGAAAAAAAGUUACUCUCUGUCUAUUAUCCUGAUUUCCAGGAAAUUACCCAACUGAAUUAAUCGAUAACUUCAAAGCUUGUGGUUAUUUAUUAUUCACUUUAGGGUUUAGUUUUAAUAGAUGGGCUCAAGUUCUGGUAUUAAAAUGAGGAGUUAUCUCAUUUUACAAAUGAGAUAGCAAUACUUAGCAAUGACAGUGCUAACAGUACUACUUGUCACUUUGCCACUGUCUGUGACAAAG